rnacentral:lncRNA from 1 species
AAGACCUCGUCGCCGUGCAAUUUUCCGGCGACUUAAGAGGCUGUCCGUAACUAAACUACCUUUUUUGUUGGUUUUGUGCAAAAUCCGACCAACCCCAGAAAAAAUCACCGGAAAAGCACCAGUCACGCGCCCCCACGCGCCGGCGCGUGACAGCAGUUCCGGCCAGUUUUUUAGUUUGUUUCUUCAGGACAGUUGGUCGGCUCUCAAUUCCGACCCUACCCAUACUUUUUUCGUUCGAUUCCUACAACUUUCAG